ensembl:lncRNA
AGCUGAGAAAGUCUCUCACUAAUCCUCUCUUAUUCUUUGAAACAGCCAGGGCUCAAAAGGAUUUGCAGCAUGUUUCUGAGGACGAAAUACUGGUGAUUAACGUUUGUGCCAGGGCUACCUCUCAUAUAUCUUUAAUUAAAGUUACACAAAACAGUGGACAGAUUAAGGGGAGGUGCCAGAAUUCACAGGGGAAAAGGUAACACUUCUGAAAGAGCUGGUCUGUACAGUCUGGAAAUGCUACUUGCUGCAGGAUAGCUUACGGGAAACUGUUACCAAACUGCUGAAACUGAAACAACAGAAACUAGCACCAGCACCGCAGUCAGCCGUUCCAAUCUCCGACACCAUGCAGGGUACACUGACCGUCACUGGUAUCAGCAAGAAUACCAAGAGAGCUGCCAAUCUAUUAGCAUCAGGUCUCCUGCUCCUGAUCGGGUUACUGUUCUCCAGGGGAAGAAACAAGAUGCCAUUUCCACAAUACUGGGCACCAAACCUCAGAGCACUCUGCAAGUGUGCUUUGGUUGACCAAAGAAGAGGAUUUGAAAAUAAAAGAGAAAUUCAAGCAGGAGGAAUUGCGUCCACAGAAUCAAUGACCACGUCAGCCACUGAAUUCCAAAGUGCGAAAUUCCCAUCAAUCAUUAACCAGAGAAGAAAAACAAGCCCUACAUUGUGCAUCGCCGAACCGCUGCAUGCUGGGUGCUCUUAAUAUAAAUAUUUGGGGUACAUGUUUUAAAAUUAACUGCAUAAAAAUAAUCACAGGUUAAAGAAGAAAAGCAACAGUCUGUGGUGCAUUUAAAGCUUUAUACUACUUUCAUGCCAUAGGUGUCACAACAAAUUAAAUUUUAGUGAGGGGAACUUCUGUGAGCUUGCAUAGCCUUAAUUUUCACCAGAAUCAAACAAUAUGGAGAAUUUUAGAAAACUUCCAAAGCUAAUAGCAGAGAGAACAGACAAUCCUAGGAAGGAGUUAGUUACAUUACUGGAYGACCCAGUCAAUGCAGCCCUUAUCUAAACUGAGCUGCUCCUCUGUUGCACYGUAUGUGGGAAUGUGCAAGCCACCAGCCUGAGGAUGUGGGGGUCAAACCCCCCUGCCCCCUUGGUAAAGAAAAGCCUCCAGAGCACCCCACGAGGGGAGCAUGAGAAGGCCCCAAAGCCACCUUGGACAAAGUGGGUGCCCCAGGUAAAUGCUCCUCACUUGCUUGCAUCAGUGAAAUUUUGAAAGCAGAAUCAGGAUUCCCCAAGCAAGAAGGAUAUUUCUUCAGUAAAAUCUGGGCAACGGUAUUCCACAUAAUAACCCAUUCUUCAAAGAACUCUAACUCAGAUUUUAAACUUAAUGAAGUAGAUUAUGGUGGACUUAAUCCUAAUGUCAAAAGUCAGUCAAAAUUAGCAAUGACAAAUCAAUUGGAAUAAUUGGAAUUUUGAUUGAGAAAGGACUGAAAGGUUUGGCUCAGAAGAUGGAAAAUCUGACUAUGUAACAACAGAAUACAGAGACCUCUCCUUAGAUAGUAAUGAAAAAAUAUCUCCUAAGUGAGCCUGGAUGAUUCUUUACAUAUUUCUUGUUCACUCCUUAGAGAACAAUCUCUGUCCCUUAAAAAUAGAAGACAGAGGAGAAAUGUUCUUAAUGCAAUGUUCCAGCUGGAAACAGACUUCCACUUCUUCCUGAUUUAUUUCUUGCACAUCAAAAUUAAAAAUGGCCAGAAUUUCAGAUC